AUUGAACGCUGGCGGCAUGCCUUACACAUGCAAGUCGAACGGCAGCACGGGUGCUUGCACCUGGUGGCGAGUGGCGAACGGGUGAGUAAUACAUCGGAACGUACCUUAUCGUGGGGGAUAACGCAGCGAAAGCUGUGCUAAUACCGCAUACGCCCUGAGGGGGAAAGCGGGGGAUCGAAAGACCUCGCGCGAUUAGAGCGGCCGAUGCCUGAUUAGCUUGUUGGUGGGGUAAAAGCCCACCAAGGCGACGAUCAGUAGCUGGUCUGAGAGGACGAUCAGCCACACUGGGACGAAGACACGGCCCAGACUCCUACGGGAGGCAGCAGUGGGGAAUUUUGGACAAUGGGGGCAACCCUGAUCCAGCAAUGCCGCGUGAGUGAAGAAGGCCUUCGGGUUGUAAAGCUCUUUUGUCAGGGAAGAAACACCGGCUCUAACACAGUCCGGGAAUGACGGUACCUGAAGAAUAAGCACCGGCUAACUACGUGCCAGCAGCCGCCGUAA
rnacentral:rRNA from 1 species